rnacentral:rRNA from 1 species
AUACGGAGGGUGCAAGCGUUAAUCGGAAUUACUGGGCGUAAAGCGCGCGUAGGCGGCUUGAUAAGUCGGAUGUGAAAUCCCCGGGCUCAACCUGGGAAUUGCAUUCGAUACUGUCAGGCUAGAGUGUGGUAGAGGGAAGUGGAAUUUCCGGUGUAGCGGUGAAAUGCGUAGAUAUCGGAAAGAACACCAGUGGCGAAGGCGGCUUCCUGGACCAACACUGACGCUGAGGUGCGAAAGCGUGGGGAGCAAACAGGAUUAGAUACCCCAGUAGUCC